GGAAAUAUCUGUUGAAUGUUCUCUUUGUGACUGCUCCCUUGUUUGUUACCACACUCCCUUGUUAUCACACACCUGCACCUUGUUGUUCAUAUCGGUGUGGGUUUUGAGUAUGUGGCCAGUCCACCCAAAGUCCAGGAAGAGGACUGCCUCAAGGGCUUCACCUCCAUGAUGGGCGCUACCUGGGCAGCGUGUGGGCUGAAGUCUGUCCUGGCAUGUCUGGACCCAGGGCAGACGUGCCCCUCUGUGUGUCCUGCAGGGCUAGGGACACGCGUCCAGUGCCUGCCCUUCCAGAAGGCACGUUUGUUUCUGGGCCUACUGUGAUUGUCCAUGGCCCCACUUCAUCAUUGUUUGUACCCACUGUCUAUGUGGGUGUGUCACAUUGUCUGUCUAGACUGGGUUCUGCCAGGAACCGCGCCCUUGUGGGGCGGGGUGGGGGUGGGGGUUCCUGUAACGGUACACUUCCUUUCCCACUUAUCAUGCCAUGUGCAGUGGAUGAUGUGUUGAAUGUUCUCUUUGUUUAAUAAACGUCUCUCUGCGUCGA